rnacentral:rRNA from 1 species
AACGCGAAGAACCUUACCAGGUCUUGACAUCCUCUUGAAUACAUUAGAGAUAGUGUAGGCUUUCGGGACAAGAGAGACAGGUGGUGCAUGGUUGUCGUCAGCUCGUGUCGUGAGAUGUUGGGUUAAGUCCCGCAACGAGCGCAACCCUUGAUCUUAGUUGCCAGCAUUGAGUUGGGCACUCUAGGAUGACUGCCGGUGACAAACCGGAGGAAGGUGGGGAUGACGUCAAAUCAUCAUGCCCCUUAUGACCUGGGCUACACACGUACUACAAUGGCCGGUACAACGGGAAGCGAGACCGCGAGGUGGAGCGAAUCCUAAAAAGCCGGUCUCAGUUCGGAUUGCAGGCUGCAACUCGCCUGCAUGAAGUCGGAAUUGCUAGUAAUCGCGGAUCAGCAUGCCGCGGUGAAUACGUUCCCGGGCCUUGUA